rnacentral:sRNA from 1 species
ACACGAGAGAGGAGGUGGUUCGGCGAAUGUAUGCAUACCGGACGCGUGAGGUGACUGCGGGCUGACGCCUGCCAGUCGCACUCUGUGCCACUCGGCAGGCCACCUGCCGUAAUUCAAAGCAGUCACCGACCCGCGGGCUCGCCGGUACGUCCGGCCGGCCCCUCCGCAAGGAGGGACCCGAGCCCGCGGGUUUCUGCGU